rnacentral:tRNA from 1 species
GCCCUGGUGCUGGAAUUGGUAGACAGGCUACGUUCAGAGCGUAGUGUUCCUUGUGAACGUGGGAGUUCAAGUCUCCCCCAGGGCACCA